rnacentral:rRNA from 1 species
AUUGAACGCUGGCGGCAGGCUUAACACAUGCAAGUCGAGCGAGCGGCGGACGGGUGAGUAAUGUCUGGGAAACUGCCCGAUGGAGGGGGAUAACUACAGGAAACGGUAGCUAAUACCGCAUACCAUCGGAUGUGCCCAGAUGGGAUUAGCUAGUAGGUGGGGUAACGGCUCACCUAGGCGACGAUCCCUAGCCUGUCUGAGAGGAUGACCAGCCACACUGGAACUGAGACCCGGUCCAGACUCCUACGGGAGGCAGCAGUGGGGAAUAUUGCACAAUGUGCGCCAGCCUGAUACAGCCAUGCCGCUUGUAUUAAGAAGGCCUUCGGGUUGUAAAGUACUUUCAGCGAGGAGGCGUUACUCGCAGAAGAAGCACCGGCUAACUCCGUGCCAGCAGCCGCGGUAAUUC